CUAACCAUCGGUAGGUGAGGCUACCACAGGGAUACGGGUUGCUGCCGCAGAGUCGUGGAGACACGAUGAGAGGGCCAACAGUUCACGUCGAAAAAAGAAGGCGUGAAAUAGUGCAACAACAUCGCCCUGCGGAGCUAAAGCUUGAACGAUACUGGGUACUU
rnacentral:sRNA from 18 species